rnacentral:rRNA from 1 species
UACGUAGGCAGCAAGCGUUGUUCGGAGUUACUGGGCGUAAAGGGUGCGUAGGCGGCCUGUUAAGUUCCGUGUGAAAUCUCCCGGCUCAACCGGGAGGGUGCGCGGAAAACUGGCGGGCUAGAGUGCGGGAUGGGAGAGUAGAAUUCCUGGUGUAGCGGUGAAAUGCGUAGAUAUCAGGAGGAAUACCUGUGGUGUAGACGGCUCUCUGGACCGCAACUGACGCUGAGACACGAAAGCGUGGGUAGCAAACAGG